UACGGAGGGGGCGAGCGUUGUUCGGAAUUACUGGGCGUAAAGGGCGCGCAGGCGGCUCUGCAAGUCAGAUGUGAAAGCCCCGGGCUUAACCUGGGAAUUGCAUUUGAUACUCUGGAGCUUGAGUACGGGAGAGGAGAGUGGAAUUCCCAGUGUAGAGGUGAAAUUCGUAGAUAUUGGGAAGAACACCAGUGGCGAAGGCGGAUCUCUGGGCCGUAACUGACGCUGAGGCGCGAAAGCGUGGGGAGCAAACAGG
rnacentral:rRNA from 1 species